AUUGAACGCUGGCGGCAUGCCUAACACAUGCAAGUCGAACGAGUGGCGGACGGGUGAGUAAUGUAUGGGAAACUGCCUAGUAGAGGGGGAUAACUACUGGAAACGGUGGCUACUACCGCAUAACAUCCUAUCUGCCCUCAUGGGAUUAGCUUGUUGGUGGGGUAACGGCUCACCAAGGCGACGAUCCCUAGCUGGUCUGAGAGGCUGACCAGCGACACUGGAACUGAGACACGGUCCAGACUCCUACGGGAGGCAGCAGUGGGGAAUAUUGCGCAAUGGGAGAAAGCCUGAUCCAGCCAUGCCGCGUGUAUGAAGAAGGCCUUCGGGUUGUAAAGUACUUUUGGCGGGGAAGCGUUAUCUGCAGAAGAAGCACCGGCUAACUACGUGCCAGCAGCCGCGGUAAUAC
rnacentral:rRNA from 1 species